CCUACGGGAGGCAGCAGUGAGGAAUUUUCCGCAAUGGGCGAAAGCCUGACGGAGCAAUACCGCGUGAGGGAUGAAGGAUUUUGGUCUGUAAACCUCUUUUCUCAAGAAAGAAGUUCUGACGGUACUUGAGGAAUAAGCAUCGGCUAACUCCGUGCCAGCAGCCGCGGUAAUACGGGGGAUGCAAGCGUUAUCCGGAAUGAUUGGGCGUAAAGCGCCUGUAGGUUGUUUAUUAAGUCCGUUGUUAAAGCCUAGGGCUUAACCCUAGAAAAGCAAUGGAAACUAGUAGACUAGAGUAUGGCAGGGGUAGAGGGAAUUUCUAGUGUAGCGGUGAAAUGCGUAGAUAUUAGAAAGAACACCGGUGGCGAAAGCGCUCUACUGGACCAUUACUGACACUCAGAGGCGAAAGCUAGGGUAGCAAAAGGGAUUAGAUACCCCUGUAGUCCUAGCCGUAAACGAUGGAUACUAGAUGUUGUGCAUUAUGUACAGUAUCGUAGCUAACGCGUUAAGUAUCCCGCCUGGGGAGUACGCUCGCAAGGGUGAAACUCAAAGGAAUUGACGGCUGNGAGUGCGAGNGACACGAGGAGUAGG
rnacentral:rRNA from 1 species